CUUGCCCAGUCCCUGCCCCAGCCCCGCCUCCUGCCCACCGGGACGCUGCCCUCCCUCCGCAGAGCCACUCUCAAGGACGGACGGGAGGUGUGUCUCAACCCCGAGCCCCGCUGGUCAAGAGAAUGAUCCAGAAGAUGCUGAGCAAGGGCAGCACCAACUGACCUCGGGACAAGUAAGAAGCUAUUCUGGUGGUGGUUCCUGAAAGACUUAGAGGAACUGAAAAUGAAGAAGAGAGCAGCUGGUUUCUGCAGACAUCUAGAAAGGCCUUAAUGUGUUUGACUAUCAAGAGUUCUAUUUAUUUAUGUUUGUAUUAUUUAUGUUUCAAAGCUCAUAUUUAAUAUUUUACUUGUUAGUAUUUAAAGAUGUGAAUGUGUUUAAUCAAACAUAAUUCAGUCCUGAUUGUCUUUUAAUCUGAAGAUGAUGGGUUUUAAAUGUCUCAUUAAACCAGUGUUUAUUGGGAGAUCAUCAAGUGCCUGGGCACAGUGAUGGGGAGGGGGAUGAAAGAAGGGAAUCAAAGCAGGUAGACAGUGUGUACACAUCUAUUUUUGGGCUUGUUUAAAAGAAUGUCAGUUGUUAUUUAUUGAAACUAUUUCACAUUAUGUGGUCAACAUUUUUAUGUUGAAGCUUCCCUUGGACAUUUUAUGUCUUGCUUGUAGGGCAUAAUGCCUUGUUUAAUGUUCAUUAUGCAAUGUUCUUCUGUUUUGGAACAGAGAAGUUAAAACUACUGUUUUUACAAAUGAUAUGACAAUAAACGUUUUGCAAAAAAUAACA
rnacentral:lncRNA from 12 species